rnacentral:lncRNA from 1 species
GGACAUUUCAUCUGUGGUCCUCAUGGCAAAUUUCAAGAAAGUGGUGCAAACUUACAGUAUGUGUAUGAAGACUCUGCCAACAACUGCGGAUAGCUUUCCAACUGGAUGGACUGACAAGAGAAGUGGUCCUGAAGAAAGACUGUGAAAUUUUGUCUGGCAGAUAACUGGUUGCUGUGGGCAUCCUCCAAGUAUAAAGAAAUCACUCACCAUCCAGGGAGCCCUCCUGAAUUAUCAGAGGAGCUGCCAGUACUCCCAGCCCACUUUCUCUCGCCAUGAAUCUCCGUUGGUUGCUCUUCUAAUAGCCAUCUAGAAAAAGGUUUAUGCAUGUCUCUCAUUCCCAUAAUAUAAAAAUUGCUAAACUAACUUAUUGUGUAUAACAAUUAAACUAAUAUGCAAUAUCUAAUUACUAGGUAACAUGUAACUGCGAGCAGACUAUCAUGGUUCAAAUCCCAGCUCUGCCGCUUAUCAGCUAUAUGACUAGCAAGUCUUCCAACACUUUGUGCUUCAUUUCUUUACGGAUAAAAGUGGGACUUUAUUAUUACUUAUUUUACAGCGUGGUUAUAAAGAGUUGAAUGGAUUAAUACAUGUAUAACAUAUUUAGAACAGUUCCUGGCACACAGUAAGGACCAUUGAAGUAUUGGCUAUUUUUGUAAGAGCUGAAAGACACAGCUAAUGUUCAGUGCAAAGCAAAGCACCCAAAACCCAUUUGUAACGAAAUAAUUUAGUUAACCAUAUCAGUCACAGAAAACUCAGCCACACAAUCUCUCCAUUUGGCUUCCUUCUCUGACAAAAAUAAUGUCAUCAAAACAACUACUGUCUAACACAAACCCAAUGAUAGUUGUCAACUGUAAUGUAAAAACUGCCCAUUCAGAAACCUGCCUUACUCCAUUUUGAAAAAGUUGAACACGAACAGCUAAGUUUGUUGGAAAAAAAGGAAAAAAAAAGAAUGCCUGUGAUACUAACUUUUGAGGUCAGUUUAUUUGAGUGAAGCACAGUAAGGCACUCAGAGCAAUUCACAGAAGGGACAUCACAGAGGCACUGCCUCUUCCCCACUCACUCAUCCUUGCGCUUCAGCCAGGCCUAACUACUCACCGCCCUCCAAUACACGCGGUGUCCUGUGCCGGUCAUUCUUGUAAGCGAUGCUCCAUCCACCUAAACAGCCCAAUCUCUCCCUACCACCUUGUCCUCUCUGGAAACUCUAUUCAAUUUGACUCAACAAAUUUCUCCUCAAAAUAUCCCCUGAUUUCCAAGCAAAUUUGAUACCUCUCUGCUUUAUAUUCUACAAAGCUCAUCCUUUGAAUUGCUUUCUUACAGUUUAUUCUUUUGUCUCUCAUUGCUAUUAAACACUGAGAUUCUUGAAGGCAAGGAUUGUCCCUGAUGUUUUUUUACAUCCCUAACUUCUAGAAAAAUGAAAGGUAUGUAAUAGAAAAGUGAUAACUGCUUGAUAUUUUCAUUAAUUCAAAUAUCGGUAGGGGGAAGCCUUUUUUAAAAAAGAAAUUAGAAGCAUACCUGUAUGCAUAAAACAUAGAUCACCAC